rfam:Triticum aestivum genome assembly, contig: Triticum_aestivum_CS42_TGACv1_scaffold_592530_7BS
AAUAUACUCCCUCUGUCUGAAAAAGCUUGUUCGAAACUUGUUUCUCAAAUGGAUGUAUCUAGCACCAAGUUAGUGCUAGAUACAUCCAUUUGAGGGACAAACUUUUUUUGAUAGAGGGAGUAGUAG